rnacentral:rRNA from 1 species
GACGAACGCUGGCGGCGUGCUUAACACAUGCAAGUCGAGCGGUAAGGCCCUUCGGGGUACACGAGCGGCGAACGGGUGAGUAACACGUGGGUGAUCUGCCUCGCACUCUGGGAUAAGCCUGGGAAACUGGGUCUAAUACCGGAUAUGASCASSMWUCGCAUGGWKKKUGKUGGAAAGGUUUACUGGUGCGAGAUGGGCCCGCGGCCUAUCAGCUUGUUGGUGAGGUAACGGCUCACCAAGGCGACGACGGGUAGCCGGCCUGAGAGGGCGACCGGCCACACUGGGACUGAGACACGGCCCAGACUCCUACGGGAGGCAGCAGUGGGGAAUAUUGCACAAUGGGCGAAAGCCUGAUGCAGCGACGCCGCGUGAGGGAUGACGGCCUUCGGGUUGUAAACCUCUUUCGACAGGGACGAAGCGCAAGUGACGGUACCUGUAGAAGAAGCACCGGCUAACUAC